ACCAGGUGAGAGAGAGUGCUGUACCUGUACCAGGUGAGAGAGAGUGCUGUACCUGUACCAGGUGAGAGAGAGUAGUGUACCUGUACCAGGUGCGAGAGAGACUGUGUACCUACACCAGGUGAGACAGAGAGUGUACCUACACCAGGUGAGAGAGAGAGUACUGUACCUGUGCCAGCUGAAUGAGAGUACUGUACCUGUGCCAGGUGAGAGAGAGAGAGAGUGUACCUAUACCAGUUGAAAUACGAAGACAGUGUACCUAUGGAAAAUUAGAGAGGGAAAGAGAGAGUACCUGUACCAGAUGAGAGAACAUGUACCAGGUGAGAGAGAGAGUACCUGUACCAGGUGAGGGGGUAAUAUAAU